rnacentral:tRNA from 1 species
UAUUAUGUGGCUUAGUAGGUUAAAGCGACGAACAAGCGAUACUGAGUCGUGAGUUCAAAUCCCAUCAAAACAA